GCCCAGGCCCAUGAUUACCAGGGCAGUGUGAGGAGGAUUACUGGGGAUGCCUGCAAGGAAUCACACCGCGGGAGGAGGAGAGACUAUGGCUGGAGACUGAUGGAAAGACCCCUUGAAGUGCUGCUGAGACACCAUGAUGAGUCCAUGUCCCAAGAAAGAAUGAUGAGUGACACCAAGGAUGAAGUGAAGUGUGAUCAAGGGCUGCUAUAGGGUUUGGUUAAGAUGUGGUACUUCCAAAUCAGGACAGGAGAAUGUGGAAAUUGGGAAGAGAUUUGUUGCAGAGAGCUGGAGAAAAUGGAUGUUGGGUUUCAGGGCUGAAACCCACAUUUGCUAACAGGGCCGUUUCUACCAGCGGGCAAGCCGCCAAAACCCCUUCUCUUCCAGUGUAUUCCUCCUGCCCCUUCGUGUUACUCCAGUCGCUGGGCGGAGUUCAGCAUUGUGACGCGGUUGCACCGUUGUAAGAGGAGACGCCGAGGAGGAGCGGAUGGGAGGGUGCCAUUUCACAGCAGAGCGGCGGUGUAUUCAGCGGGCAGCGGCAGCAGAAGGAGGAUAGGACCAACCGCAGUCCCACUCUCUCAGUGAGACCACCGCUCGCUGCAGAGUGGGUAUUUAUUCUGUGACUGGGUCUGCUUUGCUCCCUGGCUCCCUGGCUCAGUGCAGUAACUCCAAAUAAAAUAAUACUACACCCUCCCCCCCCCCCCCCCCUUUUAUGUUUUGUGACAGUGCCAGCAGAGUGUCUGUGUACAACAGACAGUGUCAGUCAGGGUGCCGUGCCAUUAUUGAAUAAAUAGACUGUUUUCUGCUAUAUUCUGCCAGCCAGGUGAGGGUUAUAAUUAUUAAGUUAGAACAUACAUAAAUUACAACAUGUCAUGGUAUUUUUUUUUAAUAA